rnacentral:tRNA from 1 species
GGUAAAGUGGCCGAAUGAUAGGCGGUAGGCCGUAGUCCUACUAAUAUUGGUUUAAUUCCUUUCUUUAUC